rnacentral:rRNA from 1 species
AGCGAACGCUGGCGGCAGGCCUAACACAUGCAAGUCGAACGGACCCUUCGGGGUUAGUGGCGGACGGGUGAGUAACACGUGGGAACGUGCCUUUAGGUUCGGAAUAGCUCCUGGAAACGGGUGGUAAUGCCGAAUGUGCCCUUCGGGGGAAAGAUUUAUCGCCUCGAGAGCGGCCCGCGUCUGAGUAGCUAGUUGGUGAGGUAAUGGCUCACCAAGGCGACGAUCAGUAGCUGGUCUGGGAGGAUGACCAGCCACAUUGGGACUGAGACACGGCCCAAACUCCUACGGGAGGCAGCAGUGGGGAAUCUUGCGCAAUGGGCGAAAGCCUGACGCAGCCAUGCCGCGUGAAUGAUGAAGGUCUUAGGAUUGUAAAAUUCUUUCACCGGGGACGAUAAUGACGGUACCCGGAGAAGAAGCCCCGGCUAACUUCGUGCCAGCCGCCGCGGUAAUAC